GACGAACGCUGGCGGCGUGCCUAAUACAUGCAAGUCGAACGCAUUUUCUUUCACCGUAGCUUGCUACACCGAAAGAAAAUGAGUGGCGAACGGGUGAGUAACACGUGGGUAACCUGCCCAUCAGCGGGGGAUAACACUUGGAAACAGGUGCUAAUACCGCAUAAUUCCAUUUACCGCAUGGUAGAUGGGUGAAAGGCGCUUUUGCGUCACUGAUGGAUGGACCCGCGGUGCAUUAGCUAGUUGGUGGGGUAACGGCCUACCAAGGCUGCGAUGCAUAGCCGACCUGAGAGGGUGAUCGGCCACACUGGGACUGAGACACGGCCCAGACUCCUACGGGAGGCAGCAGUAGGGAAUCUUCGGCAAUGGACGCAAGUCUGACCGAGCAACGCCGCGUGAGUGAAGAAGGGUUUCGGAUCGUAAAACUCGGUUGUUAGAGAAGAACAAGGAUGAGAGUGGAAAGUUCAUCCCUUGACGGUAGCUAACCAGAAAGCCACGGCUAACUACGUG
rnacentral:rRNA from 1 species